CACUUCUCCUACUCAUGUCUUCUACGCACAUUUUCAGCUUUAGCGCCCUCACCAACUAACCCUCUCCUUCUAGCAUUCACUUGGUUAGCAAGUUAGUGUGACACCCCUCCGUCCUCUUUCCCCGUCUCUUUCUCUCGCUCGCUCUCGCUGUUUCCUUCCACCCAAGAGACUCCAUCGCUAUACAAACAAGCCAAAGAAGAAAAAAAACAAGAAGGCGAUUUUUGUUCCCCUUUUUUUUUCGAGCUUCAUCUCACGUUCGACGCCACUCGUUGGGAUUCGACGGUCUUCCGCCCUCGCCGACAUCUUCCCGCAAACCAUUUACAGACUUUGUGUGCGUGUGUGUGUGUAGGUGGUGCUUGUCGUUGCGCUUUUCCUCAUCACGCACGCACGCGCCACCGGCGAAGCUAUCGGAGCCGAAGCGCCAACGCGCGAAUCGACAAAAAAAUUAAAAACAAGCAAAACCGACCGCAUUGUGGGCAAAGGACACACCAACACACACACACACACACACACGCGUGUACUGGAAUCCAUCGAGAAGUGUGUGCUGCGCUCUCGUUGCCCUCUUUUUUCUUUUUAUUUUUGGUGCGCCCCACCUCCUCAAGUGGCUGGUCUUACCUAAUACAUACACCCACACAGAAACCUCACUAACCAACAAAAUAAGACGUACGCAAACAAACACGAGAAGAAUAAGGUUGUUCGACCCACGCACGCGCAGAGGAGCGACAACCCCCCCUCCUCCCGCUACCUCCCCUUUCUCACACCGAUCAUCAUCGUUUUCUCCAGCAGAUCAACCAUCUUCGGCGGGAGAUUGGCCAGCAUUCCCCCUUUCUUGCAUUAUAUAUAUACACACACGUACAUAUACAUCUCUAUAUUUUCUCUCGCGCUUUCGAUAUCGGCCGGUGUGCGUGGUUUGCACAGUUGGCCCUUCGCGGUCUUUUGGUCUCUUUUUUUUCGCUGCUUCCAUUUCUCCGUGCCGGUUCACUUGAACGACAGGAAACGCAUGGCAACGGACAGCAGCGGACGAUCGCCGACGCGCACCAGCUGAGGAGGAAAAACGGACAGAGCGAGAAAAAGACGCCCAGCCGCGCCGCCGCCGCCGCCGCCUCUUCUUCCACUUCCCCUUCUUGCUCUUCAACACAAGAAAGCGGGCGAGCAACAACAGCAGCAGCAGCAGCAACGGCUUAUCGUGUACACAAAACAAAUUCCAUUUUCUUUGUUCGUGUAUUUUUCGACUACUCUUCUUGUUUGGCAUCUUUUCACUCUCCCCCCUCCUCUGCGCUUCCCCCCAUCUCUUUCGUUCUUUCCGUGUUGUCCGUGCCUUUCCUUUCCUCUCUGGCGCACUCAUCUUUCCGUCUCUUUCGCUUUUCCUUUGGCUACCAUUUUAUUGUUUUCUUUCGGGGAUUUCUUGGGGCCCCCGCUUCUCUUACGCUUGGUAUUACUCCUCUUUUUCCUGGUUUUGUUUUUGAUCGCUCACAGGGCGCUCGUACAUCCAACAAAGAGAAUCAAUAUCCACGCGCGCACACACAGAGACAGCCACACAGGCAGACACACAGACGCGCAUACGAAGUGAGCCGAUAGCGUAAACUGGCAAAAACAACAAGCAGAAAUAAAAAAGUCCGCAAGGAGAGAGGGCGCGUGAGGGAGACCAACAGCUCUUGCCGCCGAACGCUAACACAGAGAACGAGGCGCUCACACACAUAUAUAUAUAUAUAUACAUCUAUAUACAUCUAUAUAUAUAUAUAUAUCUGUGGAACAGUUUUGUUGACAUUGCCGCGUGCGUGACCGGCGAUCUUAUCUUUUUUGAGGCUCUUUUCUCAGCUGAAAGUUGGCUUGUGCUUGCUUGCUGUCUUUUUGUUCUCUUUUCGUCCUUUACUGCAUUUCUUUACGCCUUUCGGGUUUUGUGAGUGUAUUUUUUUAACUUUAGUGGUCUUAUCUUGCUUAUCUUCUUCCGUCAUCUUCUUCUCCUCCCCCCUCCCUCGUCUUAGCCUCGUCACCUCUUUAUUGCUCGUCUGUUUCGUCCUCCUCGUCAGUCCUCGCCACAUUGUUCUCCUUGCUCGCGAUUUUCUCUUUUCGACUUAUUUAUUGCCGCGGUUGUGUGCGAUCCCCGAUCUCUUCGCGUCUUUUGCUUGCACGUCCGUUUUUCGUCUGCCUCUGUUAUCGCUC
rnacentral:misc_RNA from 1 species